UGCAGCUGAGCUCCUCUGCUUUACAUUAAAGGGGGAUGAUGGGUCUGGGUGGACAGAAAAACUGCUUGUUGCUGAAGGAAAGACGGGAAUCGCAGAGAAUGCUGCUGAAACAAACGUUCCCUUCCUUGUAAUUGGCGAGAAAGAGCCUUUCUUUGGUUUUUUAAAAUCAAAGAGGCAUUCCUUAUGGUUUCCAAUCUGUGGUCAAAAUGAUGAUAACCCAGCAGAAUGAUAUAAGGAUGUUGGUGUACCAAAAACAACAACAGGCACUUAUUGUGGAACAAGAUUCCAGAGAGUCUAAUCUAGAGAAAAUUUAUGCCAGCAUGAAUGUGUGGAUCUCUAAGAAAUGUUCCAGGUUUGCAACCAUUAUAUUGUUUGAAGAGGACUUUCUAACAUGAUAUGUGUCACAUCUUCCAAGGUUAGUUUAUGAAAGUUUUUGUAUAUGUGUUAAAGUGGUAAUCUCU
rnacentral:lncRNA from 1 species